rnacentral:lncRNA from 1 species
GUUGUGGGUAACGCGGACGUGGAAGAACCUCGUCUGCGGAGGAAAAGUCCCAGGUGCCGAGUCAAUCCCCAUACACAGCCGCCGCCAUUGCCUCGAGUCCUUGUGUCUGACUGUCUGUUCCUGCUGCUGUAUGACACAGCACCUCGAGGCAAGGAAAUAAGAAAACUGCCUCUGAUCCAAGCAGAGAAGGUCAGUGAGAAGGUCUGCCUGUAGAUCUGCUGUAGGGCUUGUCACCAUUGGAAGCAAGAACUCCUGUAGCCUGUAAUACCAGCUGUGGGUACUACUCUCAGUGUUGGAGAUCAUCAAAAUACAAUUGGACCAGACCCUUUGGAAAUAAUUCUGUGUCUCAAAUGCCCUGUGGAGCACACACUUAAUCAGUUGAUGGCUAUGGAAUUUUCCAACAUCAGCUAAAGAGAAGGGCCUACUUUAAGGCUGGCCAAUUCUGCAAGAAAGGCAAGGAGGAGGAGACUGGCUCACAGCUCUGGAGGACCCCCUUCUGUCAGCUGUGGGGCUUGACACCACUUGAACAAGAAAAGGAGGGGGAAACUGCACCACAUCAGUGAAGAUCCACCUCCAGUGGCUGCUCUGCUGGUGGUGGAGUUGCUGCUGACAACCACCCUCAACGGGUCUGCACCCAUCCAGGAAAUAUCUGUCUUCCUUUAGCUUGGUUGUACCUGUUCUCACUCUAUCUGUAUUAUUG